AGUCGUAACAAGGUCUCCGUUGGUGAACCAGCGGAGGGAUCAUUACUGAGUUUACGCUCUAUAACCCUUUGUGAACAUACCUAUAACUGUUGCUUCGGCGGGUAGGGUCUCCGCGACCCUCCCGGCCUCCCGCCUCCGGGCGGGUCGGCGCCCGCCGGAGGAUAACCAAACUCUGAUUUAACGACGUUUCUUCUGAGUGGUACAAGCAAAUAAUCAAAACUUUUAACAACGGAUCUCUUGGUUCUGGCAUCGAUGAAGAACGCAGCGAAAUGCGAUAAGUAAUGUGAAUUGCAGAAUUCAGUGAAUCAUCGAAUCUUUGAACGCACAUUGCGCCCGCCAGCAUUCUGGCGGGCAUGCCUGUUCGAGCGUCAUUUCAACCCUCAAGCUCUGCUUGGUGUUGGGGCCCUACAGCUGAUGUAGGCCCUCAAAGGUAGUGGCGGACCCUCCCGGAGCCUCCUUUGCGUAGUAACUUUACGUCUCGCACUGGGAUCCGGAGGGACUCUUGCCGUAAAACCCCCCAAUUUUCCAAAGGUUGACCUCGGAUCAGGUAGGAAUACCCGCUGAACUUAAGCAUAUCAAUAAGCGGA
rnacentral:rRNA from 1 species